rnacentral:rRNA from 1 species
AUUGAACGCUGGCGGCAUGCCUAACACAUGCAAGUCGAGCGGAUGAAGGGAGCUUGCUCCUGGAUUCAGCGGCGGACGGGUGAGUAAUGCCUAGGAAUCUGCCUGGUAGUGGGGGAUAACGUCCGGAAACGGGCGCUAAUACCGCAUACGUCCUGAGGUAGAAAGUGGGGGAUCUUCGGACCUCACGCUAUCAGAUGAGCCUAGGUCGGAUUAGCUAGUUGGUGGGGUAAAGGCCUACCAAGGCGACGAUCCGUAACUGGUCUGAGAGGAUGAUCAGUCACACUGGAACUGAGACACGGUCCAGACUCCUACGGGAGGCAGCAGUGGGGAAUAUUGGACAAUGGGCGAAAGCCUGAUCCAGCAAUGCCGCGUGUGUGAAGAAGGUCUUCGGAUUGUAAAGCACUUUAAGUUGGGAGGAAGGAAAGUAAGUUAAUACCUUGCUGUUUUGACGUUACCAACAGAAUAAGCACCGGCUAACUUCGUG